AGCUUGUCCAACUUUGUGUACUGUUGCUACAACACUAGCAAAAGUUUCUCUUAGGUUUAUCAGUACAGUCAUGGAAUUUGUCAUAUCCUGCUGUUUAGAAGCUUUAACGAAUACUUGUUAGAUUUUUCGAGAAAUGCAUAAAUAUAUUUUAAGACACAACUGGAGAAUCUCUAGUUAAUCAGCUAGUACCUGCUGAUUGCAAAGCUGUGCACAUUUGUAAGAAGUGAAUUUUACUUGAUGGAUUUCUAUGGGCCAGGGAUUGGAAAUAGGAUAUUGUUGGGAAAAAGUUGGAGAUGAAAUUAUAAUGAAUGCUGGAAGGGGUUAUACUCUGGAGAUUGUUAAUGAUACUUGACAGGUUUGUCGUAGGAUUGAUGUAACUUUAUUGCCCGUUGGUUCCUCAAUUGGUUGGGCAUUUUUAGUUGGUGGGGAUAGUGAUGGAAAACGGGCAGAUUGGAUUUGGACGUGAGCAGAUUGAAAGAUUGAUUAGGAGAAGACUACAAAUUAAUCCAAAGGCAAAAGGAGAAAAGGAAAACAAGUCAUACAGGAUGUCCACACGUGAUGCAAUAUCAAUAUGUGGAAGAAACCCUAAAUGUAAGAACAAGAAAUGAAGAUAGAAGAAAGGUAGAAGUGAGGAAUUAAUUAAAAGUUAAAGCUAUAGAAAGCUAAAACCUUCCAUUAAUAAACAAAACAAGCACCAAAUCUAUGAAGAUACAUCGAAGGAACGAUUCUUCAAACACGAAAUCUAUCUUUAAGAUGACCGUCAAGAGGAAAGAUUCCACAAGCAAGAAACCUCAUCAACAUUAUUUAGCUACAAAGGUCAUAGACUACUCUGAUUAGAGUUUCACUCGUCAAACCAAUAUCCAAAAUGAUCCAAGUCUAAAUGGGUUGUUCUCAACUUUUUAUAGUCUAAGAUAGAUAUUACGAAAAUACCCUUAAUGAAGAGAAUAGCUUCUUUGAAUAACAUAGCUUGUUGUGGAUGCGAGAAAGUCAAUUAAUUUAGUAUUUGACGAAUUUUUCUUUUGUAGAUUUAUUUAUUAUUUAUUUAUAAUAUAAGUGACUUUAUUUAUUAUUCUAGAAUAGGGUUUAUGUUUCAUAGCUUCAUAAGGAUUAGGUUAAUCCAUAGUUAUUAGUUUGAAAUAGGAUUUAUAUUUCCUUCUUUCAUAAGAAUUAAAGUGUGUUGUAAUAAGACUCUUAUUUAAAGGAGUUUAUGAGGAAUAAAUCAAUAAGUCAUAUAUCAGAGUUCUCUCUUU